rnacentral:lncRNA from 1 species
GUAGUUACCCAAGAACACCAUUGUGGUGGAACCGCCCAAAUUAACCUGACUAAAAUGCAUUCAUGUCACCUGACACGCGAUUAUGCACUUUAAGCAAGUCAACCUGGUCGAUCAUCGGAUUUCAUUCGAUGAACCACUACACAGGAUCGAGAAGCAUCGCUCACACGAAGGUGAGUAGCACAGAUAUUACAACAAGUUUGCAAGGUUCGAACAGUCGAAUAAAACAAGCGGAAGCUAAA